UACGAGGGGGGCGAGCGUUGUUCGGAAUUACUGGGCGUAAAGGGCGCGUAGGCGGCGCAUCAAGUCAGGCGUGAAAGCCCUGGGCUCAACCCGGGAAUUGCGCUUGAGACUGGUGUGCUUGAGUACGGGAGAGGAUAGUGGAAUUCCCAGUGUAGAGGUGAAAUUCGUAGAUAUUGGGAAGAACACCGGUGGCGAAGGCGGCUAUCUGGACCGUAACUGACGCUGAGGCGCGAAAGCGUGGGGAGCAAACAGG
rnacentral:rRNA from 1 species